rnacentral:misc_RNA from 1 species
AAGUCGUAACAAGGUAUCCGUAGGUGAACCUGCGGAUGGAUCAUUACCAAUUUUAUAUACUAGUGUGUAUAUCUGUGACUCUGUUACAGGUACUACACUACUACUAUUAUGUAAACGUUGAACUAGAUCAAUUGGUGUGGAUUGCUUGGGAAUGGACGAAGCGACAAGCCUCUUCCGGACAGGCAAACCCCACACUGAUAACCCUUUUCAAUAUAUACUAUACUACUAGUACAUACUACAAACAAACAAACAAACAAAAGCUAUAAUAGGACUUAUAAACAGGCUGAGUGGGUAAAAUCCUCGGCUUAACCAAUAUAACUAUUACAACUUUCAGCAAUGGAUCUCUAGGCUCUC